rnacentral:tRNA from 1 species
GGAAGCGUGGCCGAGUGGUUUAAGGCACCUGACUUGAAAUCAGACGGGUCCAAAGGGCCCCUAGAGUUCGAAUCUCUGCGCUUCCG